rnacentral:rRNA from 1 species
AGGGUUCGAUUCUGGCUCAGGAUGAACGCUAGCGGCAAGGCUUAAUACAUGCAAGUCGAACGGGAUUCGAGAUAGCAAUAUUUUGAUGAGAGUGGCGCACGGGUGCGUAACACGUAUGCAACCUACCUUUUAACUGGGUGAAUAGCCCCGGGAAAUCGGGAUUAAUACACCAUAACAUUACUGAAAGGCAUCUUUUUGGCAAUUAAAGAACUUCGGUUAGAGAUGGGCAUGCGGGACAUUAGCUAGUUGGUGAGGUAACGGCUCACCAAGGCGACGAUGUCUAGGGGUCCUGAGAGGGUUAUCCCCCACACCUGGUACUGAGACACGGACCAGACUCCUACGGGAGGCAGCAGUAAGGAAUAGUUGGUCAAGUGGGCGCAAGCCUGAACCAGCCAUGCCGCGUCGCAGGAAGACGGCCUAUGGGUUGUAAACUGUCUUUUGUCAGGGAAUAAAAUGUAGGUACGUGUACUUACUUGAAGGUACCUGAAGAAUAAGCAUCGGCUAACUCCGUGCCAGCCGCCGC